CUGGGGUUGUUCAGUGGUAGAACACUUGCCUAGCAUGUGUAAGGCACUGGGUUCAAUUCUCAACACCACA
rnacentral:tRNA from 1 species